rnacentral:tRNA from 1 species
GCCUUUGUGGUGUAAAGGUCAGCACACUGAGCCGGUAUUUCAGAGGUCCGUGGUUCGAUUCCCGGAGAAGGAA